rnacentral:rRNA from 1 species
AGGGAAUAUUGCACAAUGGAGGAAACUCUGAUGCAGCCAUGCCGCGUGUGUGAAGAAGGCCUUCGGGUUGUAAAGCACUUUCGGAGGGGAGGAAAAAAAUGACGUUACCCUCAGAAGAAGCACCGGCUAACUCCGUGCCAGCAGCCGCGGUAAUACGGAGGGUGCAAGCGUUAAUCGGAAUAACUGGGCGUAAAGGGCAUGCAGGCGGUUCAUCAAGUAGGAUGUGAAAUCCCCGGGCUCAACCUGGGAACAGCAUACUAAACUGGUGGACUAGAGUAUUGCAGGGGGAGACGGAAUUCCAGGUGUAGCGGUGGAAUGCGUAGAUAUCUGGAAGAACACCAAAGGCGAAGGCAGUCUCCUGGGCAAAUACUGACGCUCAUAUGCGAAAGCGUGGGUAGCAAAC